GGAUGUGAGGGCGAUCUGGCUGCGGCAUCUAUCAUCCCAUUGAUUGCCAGGGUUGAUUCGGCUGAUGUAGCUGGCUAGGCAGGUGUCCCCUUCCUCCCUCACUGCUCCAUGUGCUCCCUCCCGAAGCUGUGCGCUCGGUCGAAGAGGACGGCCUUCUCCGAAUAGAGAUGGACCGGUCUUGGUCUUCGGUCGAGGGUAUACGAAUAGCUGCGCUCCCCUGCUAGAACCUCCAAACAAGCUCUCAAGGACCUGGCUUCAAAUCUCAGAUCCCCACCUGCAGGAGGAAAGCUUUACAAGUGGUGAAGCAGUUCAGCAGGUGUCUCUCUGUCUCUCUCC
rnacentral:snRNA from 1 species